rnacentral:lncRNA from 1 species
CCGACCCUGAGGUGCUGUGACUCAGUGGAAGCUGUGGCUUUGGUCAUGGUCUCACCCAGGCCCUGGCUGGGUUUCGUCAUUUAUGUCUUACAGGGCCGCUCUUCAGGGAAGCCAGGAAGGAUGCUGUGUCAUGCUGGAGGCCCAGCUGGCAGAAUCCAGCAACAGCCAUCCGGCUUCAGCUGGAAGCAUUAAUUAGGGAAGAGAAAUUUUUGUUUUUAACACCCGCAAGGAUGCCUGUCCCAG